AAACGCCCCCUUUGCCUCUACUGCAGCCUCUCAGAGCAGUUGCUUCUUCUGUAAAAUCUUGAAGGUUGCUGGGUUUUGUGGGUUUUAAACCUUUACCAAGAAAGAAAAAAUGUCUGGAGAGGAUGCUGCUGUUGCUGUUCCCGCUGUCGAGACUCCUGCUCCAGCACUUGGAGAGCCCAUGGAUAUCAUGACUGCUCUGCAGCUGGUGCUCAGGAAGUCUAAAGCUCAUGGAGGGCUUGCUCGAGGACUUCAUGAAGGUGCUAAGGUCAUUGAGAAGCAUGCUGCACAGCUUUGUGUGCUAGCAGAGGACUGUGAUCAGCCAGAUUAUGUCAAACUGGUGAAAGGACUUUGUGCUGAUCACAACGUCAGUUUGAUUACAGUUCCCAAUGCAAAGACUCUUGGCGAAUGGGCUGGUUUAUGUAAGAUUGAUUCUGAAGGUAAAGCAAGGAAGGUUGUUGGUUGUGGCUGUGUUGUCGUGAAGGAUUACGGUGAAGAGACUGAGGGUCUCCAUAUCGUCCAAGAGUAUGUGAAGUCUCAUUAGAUAGAAAUUGGAGAUGGAGCUUUAGGACCCCCUGAGGCUAUGUUUUUCUAUAUUUAUCUGUGCUUGCAUUAGAGUUGAGUUUUUGAUAUUUCAAUUUUGUUUUCCCAUCAGGGAGGAUCGUCUAAUACUAAGUCGAAAUCUCUUAAGUAAUGAUCCCAUUUCCUGCAUAUUCUUAACAAAGUCUCACUUUUUUGGGUGAAAAUGUUUACUACAAGAACACAGUUUUAUCGCACGGGGCAAUAUUCUAUCUUCUUUUAAGAACAAAUAAUUAUAUUACAGUUUUAAUUUAUA
rnacentral:misc_RNA from 1 species